GACGUAGGGCGCGAGCGUUGUCCGGAUUUAUUGGGCGUAAAGAGCUCGUAGGCGGCUUGUCGCGUCGACUGUGAAAACCCGCGGCUCAACCGUGUGGUCUGCAGUCGAUACGGGCAGGCUAGAGUUCGGUAGGGGAGACUGGAAUUCCUGGUGUAGCGGUGAAAUGCGCAGAUAUCAGGAGGAACACCGGUGGCGAAGGCGG
rnacentral:rRNA from 1 species